AAGUUAAACAUUAAAAGGUGGUAAAACAUUUAAAGAGGAAAAACCUUAAAGAUUUAAUCGAAACAUUAAAUAUUGGGAAAGAAAAAGAAACUCAAACAAGCCGAUAAAACAUUUGAAAAAACAAUUAAACAUUAAAAAGACAAAACAUUUGGAAAUCAAAUCAGACAUUAGAAAAGAAUAAAAGGUUAGAAAAGAGCAAACCUAAAUGUUUAAGAAGAAUCAAACUAAAGACAAAACAUUUGAAAAGACACCAGUUAGACUUUAGAAGAUCAAAUUAAACAGAAGAGACAAUAAAACGAUCAAAAGGAGCAAAUACAGAUAAAAGUCUUAAAGCGUUUUCUAGUCUGAAACGAAAACAUCAAGUUGUUUCUUCAAACAUUUCCUCUUUCUAUGUUCUUGGUUUGAUUGGGGACAGAUUUACUAAGAACUCAUUUCAGAAAACUGCUUUCCAGAUAAAGUCUACUAGUAGUUGAAGGCAUUGAUUAAACUAAUGUUACCUUCUGAUCUCCACAAACUUUACUGUUCAGUGAAGAGAAUCAAAGUUUGUUAAGGAUUUCUGAAAAACCCACAGGUGAAGGUCUGAGAAGAACUCAGAUGGAUCAUCUAAAUGUGAAAUCAAGACUCAUGGUCACAAGUUUUAAGGCUUCUGUUAACCAUAAAGUUCAAACUAACAGAAGUACUGAGAAACUUUUAAAACUUCAGUCCUCAGACUGUCUGAAGGUUCAAACUAACAGAGAAGUACUGAGAAACUUUGAAGAUUUCAGUCCUCAGACUGUCUGAAGGUUCAAACUAACAGAGAACUACUGUGGGACUUAGAAAAUUUCAGCCCUCAGACUGUCUGAAAGCUCAGGUCCUGAGGACUCGGGAGGCCUGGAGGCUUUGGAAAGUCUUGGAAAUGAGGGUUCCACCCUCCAGAACAAAGGCUGAAGCCCAACCUCCUGAGAAAAAUGGCUGACUCGAGACCCGAGUUAAAAAAAACUCGAAAAUGACAAAAAAAUAGAUGAUAAAUGCGCAAAAAAAAGAGGAAUUAGUAUCUGAGCGGAUAGCUCAGGGGGAUAAGAGGAGAGACUACAGAGCGGAGGGUCGCAGGUUCAAGACCCACCAGUGGCAGUUUUCUUUCUUUGUCUUUGUCAGGAUUUUGAUAAAACUUAAGAAGGGUCUGGUCUUGAACCAGCGACCUGCAGCUCCAUAGGCAAAUCCUUAACUCACUGAGCUACAGAUCAGAUACAAAGAAAUAAAUUCGUCGUCCCUUUGGCAUCGUAGUUCCUGAAGUGACCACAUAGGUGGAGCCAAGGCGGAGUCUGGGUGGAGUCAGGGCGGAGAGUAGGCGGGGAGGUGGGUGGCGGCCUCCCCCCUCUACUCCCCCACCUCCCCUCACCACCCACCACACCUUCCCCCGCCCCACGAGUUCUUCGAGUCUCCACGAGUUCUUCGAGUCUCCACGAGUUCCUCGAGUCUCAACAGGUUUUCCCGAGUUUCUGGAGUUUCCACCAGGUCCGAGGCAGGACAAGUUGUCAUGAAGAGGUGUUGAAGUCAGCCAGGAUGGACUGACUUUUUACAGCGACUAGAAGGAAGACCACUAGAAGAGCAGGUCUUUAACCACCAUCCAUAAAAUCCAUGGAGUCGCUCCAGAGAAAUGAAAGAAGGUCGACUUUUAUCAACCUCCAUCCAGAUGUUCAACUUGAUAUCUUUACUUUGACAUUUUUAGUACCACAAACCUUUAGUAUCACACUUUAUUAUCAUUUAUUAGGACUUUAAUGGAAUCCACCAGCAGAUUUAGUUUUUGUUGACAAACUUUAUUCUUGUCGUCGUGGGACUGCAGUAUUUAAAACUGUUCCUUCUAUUUGACCUCAUGUUUAUUAGUUUUAGUGGAGAAACUUAUUUUAAUUGUCAAUUAGUCUCUUAAAAACUAAAUAAUAAAUUGG
ensembl:lncRNA